rnacentral:sRNA from 1 species
AAAAUAGUAAAACGUGUGUAAAGUUGAUCCUAUCUACGGCACAAUAUAGUUUCUAGAAGUUAUCUCUGCCCUUUAUCGCUUACAACCAACUUGAUAGUGAUUUUUGGAUUUUUUGUACUACAAUAUCUUGUUCUAGAAGCACAAAACAAAAGAAAACUAGAAAACUACUGUUUCGAAUGUUUUAAUCACAAUUGACCACGGAUCACAAAACAAAAUAAAGAUUACUUGUAUGAAAAGAAACUUACUUCCCUUGUGAAAUUUGUUUCCUGUUCGUUACACUCUCGAUCUUUAGCUAAUAGCUAUAGUCUAUUGAUCUCUUUGCUUUUGUUUAUAAAUCUAGAUAUAAUAUCUUAUUAUAUAAAGUAUGGUUUUCAAAGUUACUAAUUCAUAGGAUCGUGCCACGUGUCAAGUCAAACGAUCAGAUGUUUACAUGUGUCAUUCAAAAUUUAAUUUUUUAUUCUCUUAAAAAAAUAGAAAAUCUUAAAAAGUAAACAAAUUUACAUAUACUAAUUUAUAUGUCUAUAUAUUUAUAAACAAUUAACAUUUAUUCAAUAAAAGGAAAAUUAUCAAAUUUGUUUUUACAUGUGUUAUUGGUCAUUUAAAUGUAGCACAUAUUAAUUUACAU